UGCGUAGGCGGAUAAUUAAGUCAGAGGUGAAAUCCUGCAGCUCAACUGUAGAAUUGCCUUUGAUACUGGUUAUCUUGAGUUAUUAUGAAGUAGUUAGAAUAUGUAGUGUAGCGGUGAAAUGCAUAGAUAUUACAUAGAAUACCAAUUGCGAAGGCAGAUUACUAAUAAUGAACUGACACUGAUGGACGAAAGCGUGGGGAGCGAACAGGAUUAGAUACCCUGGUAGUC
rnacentral:rRNA from 1 species